GUAUUCUAAGUGUACUUUAUUGUCGUUGAGUGGUUUGCUGACACCGUGGUUUUAGGUACCGAUACACCGGUGACUAAGAUCGUUCUAUCCUUGGAGUAUAUAUUCCAUUAACCUCGGGUACUUGAGGAGAAUAAUUUCCUUAAGGGGACACUGUGCAUUCAGUGGAUUCGAUUUUCUUCUUUAAGAAAAAUAUUUUGUAUAUUGUUUCUAAUCUGUUUCUAAUUCUAUUUUCUCUACUAGUUUUAAUUUUCUAGUUUUGAAAAUGCUCUUUAAACUUUGUUGUUUCUUAUCAAGUUCUUUAAAGUUUUUGGUCUAAGUAUCUUAGGAAUACAAGAAGAACAACAAUCUGAAGGAAAUUAUUAUACUGUCGGUAUUUCUUGUAUUCUACUGAUUGAUAGAAACAGAUCAUGAAAGUAGAAGAUUAAUGCAUUACUUCUCCAGAAUUCGGUGCUUUGUUUAGCAAGGUCAAAGUGUGAAUGUACUAGAAGAAUUUGUGGUAUUUCGAUUAAAGAUUACACCAGGUAACCUUCUUAUUAUUUAUAUAAGGAGGAAAAUAGUUUCUAAAAGUUAACAGUUUUGAUAUUUAUCAUGUAUGUUUUUGGAAAAAGAUCUGAAAACCAUAUGGUUUUUUGAAUGAAUUUUCCUUGUCAAAAAGUGUUGCCUUUAAAAUUCAUUAGUUUGCAGAAUGAGAGAUGCACAUUUUUGUUUGAUAAAAUAGUAUGUCAAAAUGUUAUAGUUGGAAGGCUAUUUGAAAAGAAAAGCAUAUCUAUGAAUAUGUUCAAUUCUGUUUGGAGACUGAUUUUUUUUUUUUGUAGUUUUGUACUCCAUGCGAAAUUUGAUUGAAUAUGAUUUUUGUAGACUAAAAACUUUUGUAGUUAUCUACUCUGGAUAAAUUAGACCAUGCAAUUGGUUUGAAGAAUAUGAAAACUUCACAUAAUAAGUCAAUGUUGUACUUUUGAUUUUCUAUAAACUUCACUGUUAUAUAGAAACAAAUUGUACAACAAUAUUUAUCUUUAUUGUUAGUAUUUUAAAUACUAAGUGGUAUGUCUAUUUGUGAUAGAGGAAAAAUACCAGCGACUUAGAGUUUGUGAUUUUGUGCCUCUAUGGAAUGAACUUUGACAUUGUGUAAAAAUUGUCAAAUGGAAUUGAAGCACUAUAAUUCUUUUGGAAAAUAAUAUUUUCAAAAGUGGUUUCAUGUUGCCAAUGACACUUUAAUAGCAUGAGGAAAAAAAUAUGUAGAAAAACUAUUUUCAAAUGCUUGAAAAAUAAUUUUGAGAUCAUAUUUAAAAUGUGGGGGAUUCUUUGCUUAUGACAAAGAUAAAAUUAGACUUAGUGUCUGAUUUAAAUUUGGAGCACAGGAUAUGAAAUUCGAUGAUACUUUUGUAUUAUGUUAGACCCACAAAAUUCUUGGAGUAUAUUUGAUGUUGUGGUCGUUGAGUUUCUCGUUUACUAGUAUAUGGUAUGACUAGUAUGAAACUACCAAAUUAUAUGUAUACUUGUUCAAAAUAAUUGAGUUCUUUUAUGAAAAAAGUGUCACUUAAAAUGUUGUGAUUUUUCAUGAAAAGAUAUGUCUAUUAAAUAUAACUAUUUGUAUAGACAAUACAUGAAUAUUGGUGAAUAGUCAUUUGUGAUGUUUUGUAAAAGAAGCAUUUGGACUAUAUUGCCUUUAUUGGACCCGAUUAAACUUUGUUCAUGGGUAGUUCUAUAACAAUCAAAUUGAAAGUUAUGGAAAGAUCCUUCCGAAAAGGACAUUUGACAAGGUGAUGACUCUAAACAGUGUUUGUAUCACACAAAAUUGUAAGAAACAGGAACAAAAUAUUUGUGAGAAAAAGCUACCUCGCAGAGAGCUUUUCAAACUCAAUAUUUUUAUUUGUUCUUACUUGAUUGAGUCAAACUGUUUGUGACAUGAACACUUGGGGCAUUUCAAUUACAAAACCUUGUAAGGAAAACUGAUCAACUUAGAAGUUUUGUCUAACUUUGAGUGCAAUGAAUAAAUUUUUUAACUUUGUGUGGAAUCUAAGUAUGCUGAGCAUUCUUAUAAAUCUGUUGAAAGGAAUUCUAAUCUCUUAGAGUUGAUUUACACUGACAUUUGUGAUAUGUGAUGCUUAUAGUGACCAACGACACUAACCUACAGUACGAGAGUCUACUAUCGUCGAUAAUAUAGUAACCCAACCAAGGGUUGGGGUCGUGUCCCAAGGGAUAGGUUUUGAGAAUUAGUAGAAAAAUAAAAUUUAGUUCAAACUAGUCAUAGCUAAAUACAUUAACGAUUAAAAAUAUUGUAAAUUAAGUGACACAAAGGUGUCAAAUAUCAAUUGGAGGUUUCUUCACAAGUAGUAGAAACAACAAAAAUAACAAGAAAAUCAAGUAUGGGGACAAGUUCUUGGGGUGUGACCACAAUACAAGUUCUUGCUUUUGAUAGGACAUUUGCAAGAUAAUAGUGACUAGGCUAAGCUUUAGAUGGAAAUAAGUUCCCUCUCGGGUAACUUACCCCGUUUCAAAUGCGUUCCUCUCAAACACCCAUUUGUCGCAUGAAGGCCAGCCUACGCCUUACCCCACUCACUCUCACGAGCUAAGUGUUAGGAUAUGGGACUAGGGCUCACCCUUUCGGCCUGAACCUCAUGUCGACCCACUCCUUAGGCCAUCAGUCUAGCUGUCUUGGUUUCGCGAUCUCCCUCUCGGGCAAGCUGAAAAUACAUGGGUGAUUUUGUAUUUGCAACUACACACCUAUUACAUUAAACCACAACCACUUGGUGAAAUCACCAUUAAAAUACACCUAUCCUAUCAGCAAGCAAGACCCAACAACAAUAUCAACACAUAUUUGCUCAAGAAUGGGGGUUUUUAGCCACACAUCAAGAAAUAACAAAAUACACCUAAAAUGAUACUAAAAUCAAAUGGGUAUAAGGAAUUAAACCUUGAUUUAAGCAAAGGAAGAAGAAUGAAUAAGACCCACUUCCAACUUGGGGAAGAUGAAAUUCUUCUUUCUUCAAGUCUCCCAAAAACCCUCUCCAAACUUGAGAGAAAAUAUCCCAAAAAGUACUAUUCUAUUCUCGAAAUUAAAAUAAAUGUUCCACUCCUAAAAAUUAAUAACAAGUUUAGUAUUUAUAGACUUCAGAAAUUUGUUCUGGCGGAUCGUUUGGCGAGGUUAGUCCGAAUCUCUGAUUAACUCGGUGAUUCGCUCUUUGGUGUAGUUCAUCGCCGUCUUGCACUAGCCUUUAGCAUCGUCAUGCUCUGUGCCAUUGGGCAACAAUGUACUGCUUCGCAGACUAUUCGACGAUAUGCCAACUGCUCCUUUCAUCGCAUUUUUGAUCCUGCUCUUUCAGGGCUUCGCGUACUGGAAUAAAAGGCGCAAUGUGUUCCUUCAGUGAAUCGCCAAGUGUGAUUGGCGAUGCUCAAGCUUCAACUUCUUCAUUCUUUUCAGCCUUAUUGUUCCUUUUUGCGCCUAAGUGUCCAUGCUUCCACUAAAGCUUCAAAUACCUGAAACUUAAGUGUUUUCAUUAGAUAUUUAGAAUAAAUAAGCAUUUGAGGACACUAUUUCUAUUAAAAUAAAGCCCUAAAUGAGUCCAAUUUGUGGACUCAUCAACACCCCCAACUUAAACUUUUGCUUGUCCUCAAGUAAACUCAAGUUCAGUCGUUCAACAAGGUGUCUCAAAUAGUGCUACACAAGACUAAAUCAUGAAUGCAAAUAACCAGAUUCAAAUUUACUUAUGCAAGGAUCAAUUGUGUACUCAAAGAUUCAAGUUGUGACACACCAUUACCAAAGAUUCUCAUGCUCGCAAUACUUGCUAAUAAUGUAAGUUCAAGCUCAACAACAGUAUCUGAAUGCCCUCACACAAAGAAUGAUUCCAUAUUCACGCAUAGGGGUAAAUCAAUUUAAGAUCAGGAAUCAGAUGCAACGCUCACACUCAACAAGAGGAAUACAAUGCAUGUUUUCACUCAUAGGUUUGCCCUUAUUUUCCAAUCAACCUUCGGUUCGACUUGUUCAAGAUCAAAAAGGUCUUUCUAAGGCUUGUAAUAGGGAUGAGUGCAAAGGUAUGGUCAUUUAGGCUCAAUGACUUUUCAUCCUCGUGAGAUGUGGUGUUCUCAAGGCAUUCCCUUCUUUUCCUUUAUCAAUUCUUUUUCUAGUGCUUCUAAGUCAUCUUUUCAUUCACCUCAAUGGAUUGCUUGGAAACCCGAUUUCCUUGGUACUUUAUUCCAAAAAUAUGUUUUUUUUUCGAAGGGUUUCCAUUGUGCUGCAACACCAGGGGUUAAGGGAAACUUUUCUUGCACUUCUUGACUUCUCCUUUUCCUUUUUACCACACCCCCAACUUAGGCUUUCGAUCUAAGUUGGCUAUUCGCUAAACCACAAAUCAAGAGGAUUAUAGGUAGUGGAACAAGUAAGGUCUAGGGUUCAUCAAGGUUCUUCCAAAGAAAGGUAAGGCUCAAAGGGUGUUCAAAAGAGUUUCACACGCUCACGGGUAGGCCACAAAAGAAGUAUAUGUCAAAUUUGGCUCACACUCUUUAAAUUUGCCUAAGAUCAUUUCAAGAGCACACCUUUCAAAUCAAUCAAACUAACAGGGCAAAUUCUAGGUUUAUUCAUGCAAGGUUUAAGGAAACCUAAUCACACAAGGCAUCGACACUUAAGUCAAACAAGACCACACACUUUCGCUAGUGUGAAACGGUCAUUACAAGAGAAUCAAUUCGAUAAAUGGCUAAUCACAACGAGAUGCAAAGAGUUUACAUAUUGUCUAUGCAACUUCAUUUGGCCUCAUCGUAGCCGUACAUUGAUGUUCGUUCAAUUGAGAGCACUAUUCAAGUCAUCGGUAUUGAUCAAAAUCGAGACUCAAUUUUUUGCAAAAGAACAGCCACAUUCAACUCACGAGGGGUGGCAAAAAUGUGCGAAAAAAUUCAAAAAAUUUCGAAAGGGUCAAAUUCAUUUUGCAAAUAAAAAUAAACGGAGCCACAAGCUCAAACAAUCACAAAGCAGUUUUAAAAACAGACAACUCAAAUGUAUACCAAAACACAAGUAUCCGAAACAAACAAAACAAGGUGGGCCUCACCCCACCACAAAUAAGAGCGUUUGUCCUCAAAUGCAAAUAAUAUAGAAUCCAAAAGGCAAAGUAAAGAAACACAAAGAGGGAGGUAAAUAGGGGGUUCUGACUAAACCGUCGCUCCAUGUGUCUGGGCAUUAGUGCCCGAUGCAUCUCCCUGAAGUAAAACAAUGGUCCCCGAAGUAUUGUUGUUUUGGUCCUCAUUGUUUGCCUUGGCCUCUGCAGCAAGAUUAGUUGCAAUCAUCUAAUCUAUCUCAUGAGCUGCCCCGAAGGCCCGUAUUGCAUUAACUGAACUUCGAGCCCAUGGAGGCACAUUAAGGUCGAUGGGAAUUCGUCUCUUUGCCCUGGCUUUCUUGGUUUAUUUCCUUUGUUUGGCUAGCUCUGCUUUCUUUUCAUCUCUUUUAAACUCUCGUUCUUUUACAUAUCGGGGUGGCAUGUCCCUUCCCGCAACUUUUGGUCUAGUCAUUUCUGCAAAAGACUUCAAGAAAAGUUAGAUAAUAUUUCAAACAGGGGUAGGGGAAUUCUGGGUAUAGAAUAGCUUCACCAAACCAGUUGGCGAAGUAAUUAUCCAUUUAGGCCAUUCGCUGAAAUGAUGAACAUAAGGUACAAGGGUGCAGACAAAGGGCAAACAAGGAGUCCUUCGGCAAAUCGCUGAGUGUGCUUAACGACAUUAGGCUCACCGCUAAAAGUUACAGAUAGAUUAAUACAUGCAGCAUUCAGUUAAAGGCGGAAUGGGGACGUUAGGUGAACCACCGGGCAGUUUGGCGAACUCUACUCGGCUUCGCUAAACAACCCAACGUGUCUAUUUUCAACCCAUUUCUUUCAAAUUCAACCCCGUAACCCCUGAUAAUGCAGUGUAAGCUUCUAAUGCAUGAAUUCAACGAAGACCUGUAGUAAUUUGUACACACCCAUACCAACACAAUUUCAAAACAACGCACGAUCUAGUGCGAUUCUAACAAUUACGCAGUAAGUAUUGAAUCGUAAUUGGUAAUACAUGCAAUCCCAUCAACUCAGAGACUCAACAAAGGUUUUCAAUCAUUUCAACAUUAUGCAAAUGAGUAAAAAUUCUGAUCAAAUAACUGAGGGGUUCGAUUACCAACUUUUGAUACCGAAUUAGAUAUUACUGACUUGCUAGGCGGCAAUGCGAUCCAAAUCCGUGCACAAUUCGACACUUAAAAUACUCUUAAAAGUGCAAGAAAUAUAACUACUAGAGUGCGAAUUUGAGUUUGGGAAAAGGGACAAAGUGAAAGGAAGUGAAUGAAAUAGAAUUUUUAAACCUGUGGCUUGUGACCGUUCGAUUUCUGCUCAUUUGGCAAUGUUAGUCGGUCACGCCCAAUCACUCGACGAAGCACCGAAUAUCUUAUUUUCUAGCCGACUAUAACAGAAUCUUCAGUUCAGAUGGGCAUUGCAUCGGUGGUCUUCAUCGAGAUCGCCAACUGAGUUGGCGAUGCGCUGACAAAAUUCACUGUCACGCCCCGAGCCUACAUCCUGGGCGGGACUGGCACUCGAGAACCAUUGAUGACCCCAAGUGAACCCUUGGCCUGGCUUACUUACUCAGCGGAAGACUUAAACACAAAAGAUAUAGCUCAUGCAAUAACUUAAAAGAUAAUAAGUUAGCCAAAAAUAGCAUCUCCAGUCUUAAACGUAUACAACUAAAAUGAAUAAGACUAAAGAACUAAUAAUGUUUGUCUAUGAAGCCUCUAAAACAAGAGGGAUGUCGGGACAGGACCCCCGAUCAUCCUAACAACUGAAAACUAGAAAACAAAUGAAAAAAAGUCCUCCAGAAUGCAAGGAGGCUCACUAACUGACUCGGAGUGCUGAACCUGAUCAACGAGGCGCUGGAUGUUGAUCCUGGUUACCUGUGUCUGCAUCAUAAUACGAUGCAGGCCAACUGGCAUCAGUACAUUAAAUGUACGAGUAUGCGAAUUGGAAUGCUAAACAUAACAUAGGCUUGAAAAGAUUCUGAAAGAAACACUUACCUUGGCUCCUCUCAAUUCAUAAAUAAACUUAACUGAACUCAUUUCAUUAUAAAGCAGUUUAAAACAAGUGCAAUAUAAAGAAAACGGAAAAAUGUUUAAAACAUGAUGUCAACUCAAAAUCAUAAUAUCAUAAAAGACAUUCAAUGCUCUCUCUCAAAGUCUACUUGUGCAAUGCAUGAAUGAAGUCUCAUACCCCCAUUCAUACUAAGCAGAACCCCUUAAGGAACCAUGCAAUUACUAUUGUGGGAGUUUUCUAACCAACAACCACCACUAUGAGCCUAAGUGGUGAUACAGCGUUUUUACCAUCACACUGUCGGACUGUCCUAUACUUUGCCAUCAUAUAGAACUACUUAACUUAGUGGAUCCACUAGCUUAACUUAUGUGAUCAUCUAAAAAGUAUAACCCAUUAAUGCACAUGAUGGCUACAUGGUUUAUGGAGACAUGAGUUAAUAUGAACUCGCAUCCCCAUAUCGGUGUUCAAUACUACUCCCAAAAAUAUACUUAGCUCAUAUGCUUUUAAAAACAACUUCUUUCUUUGGUUUGAGAUAAUUACUCAAAACUUAGCUUAAAAGCUCUCUUGGAAUCGAUGUUCCCUUUUCUUUCUCAAAAUGUGAAAAUAUUUUCAAGCUUCUUAGGAAUACUUAGUUCUCAUAUACUUCUUUGAAGAAAUGAACUCAACUCUUUACUCUUUGCUUAACUUGAAACUUAAGUCUUAAAACAAAGUUAAAACAUUCAUUAAAGACUUUUGAAAAACUUUAUAAACUUUGCUUUUAUUUGCUUCUUAACUUCUAGACUUGACUCUAAACUUCUCUUGACUUUGAUCCUAACUUUCCUUGAAUUGAAUUAUGGAUUCAAGGUUCAUGAUAUCAUGUUUAUGAAUGAUUUCAUGAUGUUUAGAUGUACCUUUGAGUGUUAAUUAGAAUCAACUAGGAAACAUAGGUACAUCACUUAGAAACUAGUACGAAAAGAUGGGAGAAGAAUGGGGUGAACUGGCGUCCUUGGUGUAGACACGUAAUUUUUUAACGAACUUAAGGUAUUACACCAUUUUUAGUGCAUAAAUAUUGCUUUUAUAUAUAAAUUAUAUAUUUUUUGUUUUAUCUUAUUUUAGUAAGUUUAUUUUAAAACAUUUGAAAAUAACAAAACAAAAAUAUUUUAUUUUAAUUUUGUUUAAUAAAUAAGCUAGUAUUUCUUAAUUAUAAUUUAUUAUUAGCUACUCAAUUUUUGUUAGUUUAAAAAAUAAUUAUAUUAUAUUAUAUUAUUAAAAAAAUAUAUUAAACUAACCUACCCUCACCCCAUUUUACCCUGCCAAUUUACCCCAACCCCACCAUCUAUGAUACCCCAUUUUCUACCCUCCUCAACUCCACUACAACUAUACACCCCCACUUUCCAACACACUACACACACGUACAUACAUGCACACUACCAAACAACCAACACACACAAUACCAAUAUAUCAUUAUAUAAAGCAACCCAGUACACAAAAGAAAAAGGACACUACAUGGACAUAUACAGAAAAAAAAUUACUUACUUAUAAAAAUUUAAGAAGAGAGAGAAACAGAAUAAAAAAUAAUAUACAACGAGGAAGGGAAAAGAAAAAAAAAAAAAAAAAGAUAAUAGAAUUUUCUUUCUAAAACUAAUCCUAAAUCCCAUAAAAUUUUAUUUCUUAUUUUAAAUCUAACUAAAAAUAAUCCUAAAAUUACCCAAACACUAAAAAUCUCAUUCCUACAUAAAUUUUAAUUCCUAACAAUUAGAUGCAUCUAUAUAUUCUAUACAUGAUAAUAUAACAAAAAAAAUUAUGAAUACAUGCGAAAAGAAGGAAAAGAAAAAGAUAUUAAGAAACAAACAAAUGUUGAAAGCAUGAAAAUAAAUAAAUAAAUAAUAAAAAAUGUAUGAAAAGUCUAUACACUAAUAAAAUAAGAUAAUUUUAAAUAUAUUUAAAAUAAAUCAAAGAAUGAGCGUAAAUAACAUUUUAUUAUUAAGCUAAUAAUAUAAUAUCCAAAAAUUAAGUCAAGUCAUACAAAUGUCAAUAAAGCGACCAUGCUAUAACCACGGGACUCGUGGGAUGCCUAAUACAUUUUCCUCGGUCAACAGAAUUCUUUACCCAAUCUCUAUUUUCGCAGACCAAACAAAAUAAAGAGUCAAAUUUUCUUUUGAUUAGGAAUUUAAAUAAGGUGACUUGGAAUACCAAAACUCAAUUUCAAGUGGCGACUCUGAAAUAAAAUAAUCUAUUUUCAAAAUGUCACUUCAAAUGGAAAAACUCUAUUUUCAAACAUAAUUUUUGAAGAAAAAUGAGGGGUGUGUCAGAUGGCGACUCCGCUGGUGAUAACCAAAAUUCGAACUUAUAAUAUUAAUUUAUGUAUGACUUUAUUUAUUUAUUUAUUCGUUUAUAUUUUUGGAUAUUGUAUUUGUUGUCUUGAUGUGCUAACUGUCUAUUUAUUUACUGUUUUAAUAUUAUUUGAAGUGUAUGUAAUUGUCUUCUCUCGCGCAUCCUUCUGAAUCUUCAAUAAUACCAUAAUGGGAAUUGCGACUGCACACCCCACUUCUGUCAAGAUAGCCAGUGGAUCGUCGGUGAAGGAUUUUUAGCCACACCUGUUUAGGAUGAGGAGCACCCAUGCACAAAGCCGGAAAGCGCUGCUACCGGUACGUUGCUACUCUUUGACUCGAGUUGUACGCUCAUUUUACAGGCAGUCUAGAUACCUUUCUCCAAAAGCUCAACCUUAGUAGAAUUGAAACAAGACAUGAUAUCCUUAGUAGGUUUCGCUUUAUCUGCAUCAUGUGCAUUUAACUUAGCAAGACUCGGCAUGGGGGGCAGGUCUGUCUAGGACAUGUACCUUUUCUUGAGACCAUCAUGUAUAUUUUUGUGUUACUUGUUGCAUCAUAGGAAAGACUAUAACAAAUGUUAACUGACUUUAGGAUAAUUGACUAAAAGCAGAAAUGUCUACUUUUAUCCAAUUUCAACAAAUAAUAAAUUGAUAAUAAUAAUAAUAUACGUAUAUAUAUCAAAACAUCGAGUUUUUUUUAUUUUUUAAAAAAAGCGCAUAUUUGUAUACACAUAAUUAAUAUUAAAAAAAAUUCACUUAUAUAUAUAUAUUCUUCAAAAUUCCUUCAAAAAUAAUACAUGUCCGUCUUGUUUUAUUUCACUUUCUUUCUCUUGUCAAGGUUGUCUCCUUAUCCGGUCAGUUUCUCCGAAAACAACCUAAGCUUCUCCUAAGGAAAGUCAACAAAGGCAUUUUCAAAAGAGUGACCACUUUAGGCAUUUUGAGUCAUUUUUCAUAAUUUUUUUUCCUUUUUAACUACCUCGAUAAAUGAUUUAGAAUGAUCAAAAUUUCAUAAGUUAAAUUUGGUUUUAAAUCUUGAGUUUUCCCCAACCAGGUAAUCAUGAGCUCUAUGAGAUGUGAUAAAAGGCCCAGAGAUGAAGCAGUCGAAAUGGUCAAUGAUCCUCCAAAAUUUAUGAUCACGAAUAAAACCCUACCUUUACUCAUGGCUUGGUGGAAUGAUAUUCAUCAGUUUAGGCGAACUGAGAUAUUCAAGCAUCUUGGUUUUCUCACAAACAUCAUGAGAUUUAGUCCUGACAGAGGUUUGAUCGAGGCUCUGAUUGCGUUUUGGGAUUCUACAAAUAAUAUUUUUCGAUCUAGCAAUUUUGAGUUGACGCCCAUGUUGGAGGAAUUGGGUGGUUUCACAGGGUUAGGCAAGGAUCUCCGAAGAAAAACACUCAUAGCCCCAAGGAGCGUCAGCGGAAACAAAUUUUUGGAGCAAAUACAUAUCAUCCACCCUCAUAUGGAGAGUUUCGAUAAUGGGUUGGUUUCCUUGGAAUUUCUAUACUCAAGAUAUGGAAGGAAAGAAGGAUUUGAAGAUUAUGGGAAACAACUUAAGAAUGGGCAACACCUGCCUACCUGGAAAAGCAUAGACAAGAAGCAUUCAUGGUGGCAUUUUUAGGAACCAUGGUUUUUCCAAGGAGAGAUAAAAAAAAUUAGUAUUCGUCUAUCGGGAAUAGUCACUGUUGUGAUGAAGAAAAAGAAAUCCACUAUAUUGCCGAUGAUGUUGGUUGAUAUUUAUCGCGCUUUGACUAAGUGUAGUGAAUGGAAGACUUUUUUGAAGGUUGUAGCAUGUUAUUGCAAAUGUGUUUCUGGAGCACUUGUAUCGCCACCGUCUAGCAACAGAUUUCAAAUCUGAUUGGACGAAUUAUAUUUUGAGUCACUUAGACAGGAUGAAGGAAUUAGUAGACAAAUUGCCAAGAGGUGUUAAAGCAUGGAGACAUUAUCUUCUUAAAUUAACUGCAUCUGCUAUUACAUGGAACUAUCAUUGGUUCCCUUCGAGUGAGGUAAUUGUUAUAUCUUCCUAUCGUCCAUUCUUUGUUCUAACAGGCCUUCCAGGAUUCCAACCAUACAUACCCCUUAGGGUGCUAUGCCAACUAGGACAAAGAAAAAUCCUACCUAAGGCUGAGGAUACGCAAAGUUUCGUAUGGGAGGUGGCGUCUGAAGAUCGAAAUCAAGAAACAGAAGCUCAAAAGAUUUGGGUGGGUAGUCGAACUUUAAGCUCAAAAGCUAUGGUAGACGAUCGUGUUCAAGGAGAAGUGGACCCCUUAUACCUCCAUUGGUUCUUUGAUCAAGCCCCUCUCAAAGUAAUGCCUGAAGGAUCAGCAUAAGAACCUAUAGAUCGAGAAGCAGAAAUUGAGGCUAGAAUCAAGCAAGCUCGCCUCGAAGUGGAAAGAAACUAUAGGUCUACUCUAGAUGUCCUAAGUAAUGACCUAAAGAAUGCUAAAGAGGAAUUGGCCCGACGUGAUGCGAUAUUUGAAGUGAGGGUUAGAAAACAUCGUUCUACCAUUCUGACCUUACAAGAAGACUUGGGCAUUGUCACAUGCGUUAUGGAGUAACAAGAGGAGGAGUAUAAAAAAGAAAAGGUUCAGCUUAUAUGCACACAGUCUAAACUCCAUAAUCAAGUUAAGGCUUCUAUGGAACGGGAGAGGGAAAUAGCAAGGUGUUUCAGUGUUUAUCAGGUAGAAUGUGAGACUGAGAGAGGUCAAAGGAUAGCCGAGUGAGAUGCACUUCACCUUCAAAUUGAAUAGCUCCAGGAACAGGGGAAGAAUUUGACGCAUGAAGUCAAUACUACUCGACAUUGGUUACAGAACUGUUAUGACAAUAUGAAUGAGGCCAAAGAUCGAGUACUUCAACUCAGGGAUGCACUCAAUGAUGUUUAUAUGUUGGCUAUCUACACCACAAUGAUGAAAGGUUGGCUCAACAGGCACGUGUUCUCGCUCCACAUCUACCAAAAGCCUUGGCUAGGAUUUAUUCCGGUCUUAGGGGUGAUUGAGAUCCGGGGUAUUUCAGAAGACAUCUUUAUUAUGUUUUAGUUUCUUUCCGAGUCUGUUUCUUUUCUUAGUUGUUAGUUGUUAUUUUAAUCAUUUUUCAAUCUAUCUUAGUCUUAGGUACUUCUGUUUUCAUGUUUUAUUCGUAUUAAGAAUAUUUGAAAAUGAAUGAAAAAGAUUUGCUUUUGGUCAACUAAUGUACAAAUAUAUUUUAUAAAAAAUAAUUAAUUAUUAUUAUCUCUUUCUCGAACUAUGCAAAGAUCUGAUUCAUGCACCAACAAGAUACGUAGGUAACCCAAUGGGUUCGAUCAAACCUUUUUUAACAAGAAUAACUAAAGAGGAGAAAAACGCUUAGAUAAGCCGGGAUGAAAUAUAAGGUCUUCCAUAUCAGAAGUAUAUAUGUGAUGCAAUGUGCACAAUUUCUUAACCCUAAUUUUUUUGCUACUACAUUCAGAAAGAAAGAGAGACAUAUUAGCUUAAAGGUGAUUGAUUUGUGGAUAAGCUGGCAUCACAUCCCUACAAUACAAGGUAGAAAGGGAAAAAGAAAAUGGCCCACAAAGACGGGAACGAGUCGGACAAUGAUGAGGUCCGAAACUAGAUGACCUCACAAGAAACAGUGUCAAUAGAAGAGGUAAGGGCACUAAGACAACAAAUGGCAGAGAUGUACGAAGCUUGGACGAGUGGACAAGCUCCGCCGUCUUCAAUCCGCGACUAUCUAAAUACAAACAUGCCGCCCUCUAUCCAAGUGUCGACAAAUGAUCUCAUUUAUCCACCUGGAUUCGGCCCCUAUACUAACACAUCCAACGUUGUUGGAACUUCUACGGUGCGCCCUUUGAGUACACCUAUGAUGAGUAAUCCACUCUUCAUACCAACUGCCCCGACUAAUAGCAUUCCACAGCCAACAAUGGUGCCCAAAUCCAACAAUGAUCCUCCGUCCAAAGUUCGUCAUGACCAUGGUUACACCCUUGAAGAGGCUAUUAAAAUUCCAAGCUCUUAUCCCAACAUUCAUCAAUAUAGUUCCCCUAUCGAAGUUGUAAAGAUGGUUAAGAAUGAGGAACAUGAAGAGAUGGCUAAGAAAAUGAAGAGUUUGGAACAAAGUAUAAGAGAUAUGCAGGGACUAGGAGGCCACAAAGGCAUCUCAUUCAAUGACUUGUGCAUGUUUCCCCACAUCCAUUUGCUUGCUGGUUUUAAAACCACAAAGUUCGAGAAAUAUGAUGGACAUGGAGAUUCUGUAGCUCAUUUAAAGAAAUAUUGUAAUCAACUGAGAGGGGCUGGAAGCAAAGAAGAAUUGCUCAUGGCUUAUUUUGGGGAAAGUUUGAUGGGAAUUGCCUCAGAAUGGUUCAUAGAUCAAGAUACUUCUAACUGGCAUACAUGGGAUGAUUUGGCUCGAUGUUUUGUUCAACAAUUUCAGUAUAACAUCGACAAAGAUCCAGAUCGUACUUAACUUGCCAACAUGAGGAAAAAGACCACCAAAAUUUUUCGUGAAUGUGCUAUUAGGUGGAGGGAGCAAGCUGCUAGGGUUAAGCCAAUCAAUGAAAGAGUCUGAAAUGAUUGAUGUUUUCCUCCAAGCGCAAAAACCAGACUAUUUUCAUUAUUUACUUUCCGUUGUUGGAAAAACAUUCGCCGAAGUUAUUAUGAUUGGUGAAAUGGUGAAAAUGGCAUCAAGUUUGGAAAAAUUGUAAGUCAAGCUGCCUUGAAAGCCACAACACAUGUGAUUAAAAAUGGAUCAGGAAAUCUUAGGGGAAAGAAAGUGAAGGAGGAUGUAGCAAAUGUUGUGUCAGACACACAAAAAGGUCCAAGGAGUCAAGUUUAUCAAUAUGCACCACCUCAAUUUCAUCUUUAUCUCCCCAUGCAAGACACACAAUACUCUAUUAUCGCACCUCAAUAUGCAGUCUAUGGGAUACAACCAUAUGCAUACCACCAACAAAUCAAAAUGUUCAUCCUUCUUCUCAAAAUUUUCAAGCACCUUAUAAUCCCCGUCCAAGACAGGAAUUUGAAGGAGGUCAAAGACCUAUGAAUAAUUUCACACCAAUUAGAGAGUCUUACACAAUUGUAUUUGAGAAAUUGAAACGUUUGAAUAUGAUAGAGCCAAUUCCACAAAAUUACGUGGAUCCACAUGCAAAAGGUUUUAAUCCUGCAAUACGGUGUGCAUACCAUUCUGAUGCUCCAGGGCAUAGUACUGAAGAUUUUCAAAAUUUAAGAAGAAAGGUGGAAGAGAUGAUUCAAACAAAGAUGAUUGUGGUUCAAAAUGAUGACCCCCCAAAUGUUACUAAGAAUCCUCUACCGACACAUAAUGAUGUACACUUCAUCGAGAUGAUAUGUGAUGACAAAUAAUAUGAUAAUUCUCUCAAUUCUCAGGAAAAGACAAUUGAAAUUGUUGAAGCUUUCAUGAAGGCUAGCGUGCAAAGUAGUGGCUAAGGAGUCAAGCUUGGUGAUUGGGAUACACUCUUCUUUUCUCUCGUAAAGAGUGUAUGAAUAGUUUAUUUUGUCAUCAUUUCUGCUAUGCAAUUUCUUUUUUUUUUUUAGUAAGUCAGAUCUUUCUAUCAUUUCUCUCAUGUGUUUGUUUGUUGCGUCUUGUCGUAGUUUGGGUUAUUGUAGAGUUGUAACCUCAAAUUUAGUUUGUUGUCUUGUCAUCAAGUUUUUUUAAUCUUAAUAUAAUCUUUAUUCCGUGUCACUUUGACCCGUUCUAUUUGACUUUCCACAUAUACAUCUCUUUUCAAUUCAAUUUUUGUGACAUGAUAUGCUAAAGGAUUUGGUAAGAUCUUAAGAUUAUAUCUAGCCAUGGAAGGAAUACACCAUAGAAGUCAAAAAAGAAAUACAUUCGAGGAAAUGAAUAAAGGACUUAAACACCUUGAUACGUCCUUUAGUAUUGAAAAUGGUUAAAAAAAUAAAUUUCAUUUAAAUUGACAUAUGUCAUUUGUUGUCAAGAAGGUAUUACUCAAAUGGAGAUUUCAAGCUGACAAAUAUUAAACAAAAAUGAUGUACAUAUCCAUCAAUGCAUACGUUGCAAAAAGAUAAUGCAUGAUUUUCACUUCAUAUCUUAAAGGGCAUGCUUGUAUCUGACAUUUUUAAUAAUUGAUAUGACGAAGGCAUUUCAUUCUACUAUCCAAACACCGUGUAAUCCUUUGCUACCCCUUUUGAGCCUUAGUUUUAUUCUCUUUCAUACCCCUCUUUUGGAAUAAAAAAUACAGUAAAAAAAAGAGUCAGAAAUUAAAAAAAAUGGUCACAAAAAAGAAUCAAGAAAAAAAAAGUGAAAAAAGGUUUGGAAAAAAUCAAUAACAACAAAAGAGCAAAUUUCCUGAACUACGUUCGACCUGAUUCUUGCUUUGACAAGAUACGUAGGCAGCCUUAUUUGAGGUUUCGGUCCAACCAAGAAAAAUUCUAGAAAGUCCUCAUCACAAAAACUGGGGAAAUGAUAAUAAUAAUAAUUAUUAUUAUUAUUAUUAUUAUUUUAUUUUAUUUUAUUUUACAAAAAGAGUCGAUUCCAAAAGUUGUAAGUCUUAACCCUGUUACGCAGUAUCUUUAAGCUUUCAUGCCAAUCCUUUCUUUGUAACCUUGUCCAAAAGCCACGUUACAAUCCAAAUAAAUACCUUUUGAUCAAUUUUUAACAAUGACAAGUCAAGCAACCUUUCAGUGUUGAUUAUAUAAGGAAAAUGUUAUGUCACUCGCAUAAGUUGUGAAAAUGAGGGAAUCUUAUAGAGGAAAAUCCUCGAAAACCCUAUAGGAGAUCGUUUGAGUUGAGAGAAAUUAAAAAAUGAGAGAGUCUUAUUGGUGAAAACCCUCAGGGCACCGUAAGACGAUAGUGAGUGACAGAUAAUAAAAAAGAGAGAAACUUGUAUGUGAAAAACUUUCGAGGCACCACAAGUCAAGUGUUAGUCAUAAAUCUAGUGCAAAAGUUGGAUUAUAGAAGUCUGACUUCAAAGUUGAAAGUUUGACAAAGAUGAAGUUUAGAUUGAUUGGACAGACCAGACCAUUUAAUCUAAAUUGCAUGUCAUGGUCAUUAGAAUUGACCAUUACUAUCAAUGGAGUCCAUUUAUUUUUUUUUAUUUUUUUUUUCUCUCAUAAGGUCAAAUAUUAUUUCUUCUUAUUUUGUGUCGCUCAAUUCGAUCUCGAGUUAGUCUUCACUAAGCAAGCAGAAAAUCAUUUCAAAAUUGCUACUGUCUCUUCAAUUGCACAAAAUAAAGUUUGGUCAGCACAUCCAUCAUAAAAUGAUUCAAGAAAUAGUGAUGUGCAUAGUAACUUGUCAACAAUUGACAAUUUUUGAAAAAUUCUAUGAAACAAGAUUCAAUUAUUGUUGGAGGGUGGAAACAAUAUGACAAAUCUGAAGUUUGAAGUUCUAAACAAUUAGAGUUGUUUUCAAGAUUAUCAAGGUGGGCUGACUAGAAAACGGAAACAGUCUGCCCCAGAUGAUAUAGUUCAACAUUGCAAUAACAGGAGCAAUCAUCUUCAAAUCUAAUGCCACAAACUAACCACCAAAAAAAAAACUCACAAUUUUUCUUCUUUCUUUUUCUAAACAAAAAAAAUCUUGUUGACAUAAAGGAUAUCUUGAAUACUCAAAUUUGUAAAAAAUAUAUAAAAUAAAAAUUUACAUGCAUUUUUUUUUCUUCUUUUCUCCUAGGAUAAACAUUUUCUAGCUGAGGCAUUUAUUUCUUAUUUUCUCAUAGGAUAAACACUUUCUAAUCGGAGACAUUUAAAAACUAAAAAUAAAAUAAAAUGUCGUGGUUAUUCUAUUUGAUGAUUUAAUGUAGCAGGACCCUCUUGGAUAAUGGGACACUAGCAGGACCCUCCUGAAAAAUGGGAUUAGCAGGAUCCUGUUGGAUAGUGGGAUUAAGAGGACCCUCCUGGAUAAUGGGACAUUAGCAGGACCCUCUUGGAUAAUGAGAUUAGCACGAAAUUAGAGCAGCAUGACCCUCCUAAACAAUGGAAAUUAGCGUAGCAAGACCCUCCUAAACAAUGAGAAUUAGCAUAGCAGGACCCUCCUAAAGAAUGAGAAUUAGCGUAGCAGGACACUCCUAAACAAUGGGAAUUAGCGUAGCAAGACCCUCAUAAACAAUGGGAAUUAUAUUAGAGUAGCAGGACCUUCCUAAAAAAUGGGAAUUAGCGUAGCAGGACCCUCCUAAACAAUGGGAAUUAGCGUAGCAGGACCCUCCUAAAUAAUGGGAAUUAGUGUAGUAUGAUAGUAUGACCCUCCUAAACAAUGAGAUUUAGAUUAGCAGGACCCUCCUGGACAAUGGGAUUAGUAGGACCAUCCUACAUAAUGAGAUUUUGUUACUUUCUCCUAGGAUAAACACUUCCUAGUCUGAAAAUUUUUUAAAAAAAAAAUUAUCUUCUAAUAACUCACAAAAAUUUCCAGUGAAAACUGGGGCAAAUUUUUUUGUGUAUUUCUUUUGUUGUGAUGGUUUUCAGGUUUCUUCAAGCGAAAUGUGUAUUUGAAAUUCAAGAAGAAAGUUUCAACUCUUUUCAGAAUGAUCAAUCCCAUGAUAGCCAGAAUCAACUUCUUCAAUGCAUAUAGUAGCCUGACUUCCUGAUAUCUAUUUCUAUUCAGCUCCUGAUCAAGAAAAUAUGCAUUCAUUCAAGAACAUAUUCAAAUUGUCAUUUUGAAGAGUGCCAAAAACUCACUCUAAGUGGCAAGUUAAGCAUCGAAUCCAUUCAAGAUCAAGAUACUAACUCAAAAUAUCAAGGCGAUAUCUCAAAUUCAAGACGCAAGUGAAGACUCAAGAGAAGCUGCAUAGAUAGGAGCUUGUACUUUUAUUUUCCUUUUGACUAUUUGCUUUCAUUUUUUUAUGUAAGGAUAAGAGCCGCGACCUGGAGCCUCGAUGGAACUUCACUUAACUUCCAACUAAUCACCUCAUCUCCUUGAACUAAACGUGACAUGAUUCCCUUAUAACCCGGGAUAUGUAGGAUGUCCAAAACCAAGACUCGAUCGCACAAAUUUUUCUUUCAAAUACAAGUCCGGUCAAACUUUGUCACGUUAUCUACUUCUUUGUUUGAAAACUCUUCGUGUUUCCAGUCAAAGAAGGGCAAAUUGUAGACACGUAAUUUUUGACCAAACUUAAGGUAUUACACCAUUUUUAGUGCAUAAAUAUUGCUUUUAUAUAGAAAUUAGAUAUUUUUUCUUUUAUCUUAUUUUAGUAAGUUUAUUUUAAAAGAUUUGAAAAUAACAAAACAAAAAAUAUUUUAUUUUAAUUUUAUUUAAUAAAUAAGCUAGUAUUUCUUAAUUAUAAUUUAUUAUUAGCUACUCAUUUUUUGUUAGCAUAAAAAAUAAUUAUUUAAUAUUAUAUUAUAAUAAACCAACCUACCCUCACCCCAUUUUUCCCUACCAAUUUACCCCGACCCCAUCAUCUAUGAUACCCCAUUUUGCUACCCUCCUCAACUCCACUACAACUAUACACCCCCACUUUCCAACACACCACACACACGUACAUACAUGCACACUACCAAACAACCAACACACACAAUACCAAUAUACCAUUAAAGCAACCCAGAACACAAAAGAAAAAGGGGACAACACGGACAGAUACCGAAAAAAAAAUUACUUAAUUAUAAAAAUUUAAGAAGACAGAGAAGCAGAAUAAAAAAUAAUAUACAAGAUAAUUAAAAAAAAACGUGCAACAUGAAAAAAAAAAAAAAAAAGAUAAAAGAAUUUUCUUUCUAAAACUAAUCCUAAAUUCCAUAAAAUUUUAUUUCUUAUUUUAAAUCUAACUAAAAAAAAUUCUAAAAUUGCCCAAAUUCUAAAUAUCUCAUUCCUACAUAAAUUUUAAUUCCUAACAAUUAGAUGCAUCUAUAAAUUCUAUCCAUAAUAAUAUAACAAAAAAAAAUUACGAAUACAUGCGAAAAGAAGGAAAAGAAAUUAAGAAACAAACAAAUGUUGAAAGCAUGAAAAUAAAUAAAUAAAUAAUAAAAAAUGUAUGAAAAGUCCAUACACUAAUAAAAUAAGAUAGUUUUAAAUAUAUUUAAAAUAAAUCAANNNNNNNNNNNNNNNNNNNNNNNNNNNNNNNNNNNNNNNNNNNNNNNNNNNNNNNNNNNNNNNNNNNNNNNNNNNNNNNNNNNNNNNNNNNNNNNNNNNNUAAAUUUUAAUUCCUAACAAUUAGAUGCAUCUAUAAAUUCUAUCCAUAAUAAUAUAACAAAAAAAAAUUACGAAUACAUGCGAAAAGAAGGAAAAGAAAUUAAGAAACAAACAAAUGUUGAAAGCAUGAAAAUAAAUAAAUAAAUAAUAAAAAAUGUAUGAAAAGUCUAUACACUAAUAAAAUAAGAUAAUUUUAAAUAUAUUUAAAAUAAAUCAAAGAAUGAGCGUAAAUAACAUUUUAUUAUUAAGCUCAUAAUAUUUUAUUAUUAUUCUAAUAAUAUAAUAUCCAAAAAUUAAGUCAAGUCAUGCAAAUGUCAAUAAAGCGACCGUGCUAGAACCCGGGACUCGUGGGAUGCCUAAUACCUUCCCCGCGGUCAACAGAAUUCCUUACCCGAUCUCUAUUUUCGCAGACCAAACAAAAUAAAGAGUCAAAUUUUCUUUUGAUUAGGGAUUUAAAUAAGGUGACUUGGAAUACCAAAACUCAAUUCCAAGUAGCGACUCUGAAAUAAAAUAAUCUCUUUUCAAAAUGUUACUUCAAUUGGAAAAACUCUAUUUUCAAACAUAAAUUUUGAGGAAAAAUGAGGGGUGUGACACUUGGCGCUCUGAGAGGCGUGGGGCGCCAGGCCCCAAACUUCAGAGAACAUGUUGGGGCGUGCUGGCUGGCGCGGCGCCCCAAGGCCAAAACUUCAGACACUACUUUGGGGAGCGCUGGCUGGCGCGGCGCCCCACCCUUUUACCCAUAAAAUUUUGACUUUUCUCCUUCGAUUUUCACCUCUAAACCCUCCAAUCUUCCCUAGUUCUUUUCCCUAACACUUAGGGUCAUUAGUACUCUCAACUUACAACAGAUCUAACUCGAAAAUCCACUCGGAAACACGAAUCAAAUCAACAAGAAACUUCAACAACACAACCAAUCAAGAACUUAACGAUGUCCUUCAAGAACUUCACUUUUUAACAUGUAAACAACCCAAAAUCGCUGAAUUGAAACAAGUAAAACAAGUUGGCGUGUGGGUGAUUUAACCCAUCACUAAAAGAUCUCACAUACCGUAAUAGGGAUCACCCCCGACGAAAUCCACAAGCAAUUCUUGAACGUUCUUGACGAAUCUUGAACUUCCUUCUCUUUUCUCUUUUCUCCAAGCCCUAGCGUGAACUCAACUUUUUUUUUCUAAACGUAAUAAAAUCUGAUUUUUACCCCAAUUAACUCUUAAAAACGAAUUAGAAUAAUAAGGUAAGGAAAAGACUAAAUUACCCUUCAAAAAUCCGGUUUUAGACUUUCCUUAUUCGAACAACCCAACUUCUAAAGGGUAUAACUCACUCAUACGAACUCAGAAUAACGCAAACUCAGCGGCGUUGGAAAGAUAAUUCUAAGAUCUUUCCAACCAUAUCUUGAAGUACACCUAACUCAUAGUGAUAUAGGAGUUAUGGCUGUUUGAAGUUGACCAAAAACACACUUUUAACUUAACUUAAAACAAAUUUCCAGAUUUCAAUUCUUUCCAAAAAUCACUAUUUCCAAUUCUUAGCUUCUUCCUAGCUAUUUCGAAUUGCGAGAUGUUACAUUCACACUCCGUCGAGUUUUACAGACUCAACAUUUAAGAUGUGUUGAGUCAAACGGCGGGAAUGAUCGGGUACGCCGAACUUGUCGGCGUUCCACCAAGUGGAACUGUUACUGGCCUCCAUAUACUAUUUCAAUCUCCUCCCUUACUUUAACAUGUACAAACAACACACCAUCAUUCUACUAGUAAUAAGGAAAUACUUAAAGGGUUUUGGGUUGCCUCCCAAACAACGCCUUAGUUAACAUCGUCGCACGAUGCAAGUCCACAUUCAGAUCUCACUUUUGGGGUUAACCAUAGUAUCACUAGGCAAACCCCCUUGUUGUCUCGGAUUGAGAUGAGACGAGAUAUGACCCAUUUGGGUCUCUAACUUCUUGAUCGAAACUAAAUGAGAGGUGACAGUCUGGCUGAGGGUAGACAUGUCUUCUUUCAUGCCUUUCAACAUUUUGUCUGAUCCUUCAACUUUGUUUAGAAUACACGAGAGCAUAUCCUCGGACCUACCACCUUCCGAAACCUUGGGAUUCUGAUGUUCGUGGGGAGGCACAUAUCUAUCCUUCUCCCCCAUCUUUUCCAAUUUUGGAUUACGGUCCCUCCAUUCACGAUCUCGAUCCUUCCCGCCUUCGUCUCUAACCCAAUUUUGGUUGCCACCCUGCCUUGGGUAAUUUGAGCGGUAGCCACCGCCUUGGUUUGCCAAAUAAUUUACCUCCUCGUCAUACAAGGCUUAAAACUUCAUCUCCUCGGGAUUUGCACCCCCGACUCCCAUAGCAUUGACACCACGGGUACUAGCCCCCAUGACAUUUUUGGAUAAAAUGUCAAGUUGCGUCAUGAUCUUGACCAUGUUUUGGUCUCUCUCAUUAUCUUUUUCAACUUGUUCCUUAGAUACCUGAAAUGUGACCGGUGAGACCUGGUCUUCGCGGGUGUACCACGCCCUGUUAAUGGUUGUCAUGCCAUCGAGAAGUUGAGCUGCUAUUGCAUAUGGUUGCUGCAUUAACCCUUCGGGCAAGAGUUGGUCAGCUACACCUUUGUUUAUCAAGUCUAGACUCUGGUAGAAGUAUUGAAGGAGCACAUUAUCAGGUAGACCAUGGGUUGGGCAUUGUAGCACCAAUUUCUUAAAUCGGAGCCAAGUUUCGUUAGAGGCUCUCCAUUCAGACGCUUAAAGCUUUGGAUGCUAUCCCGAAUAGUCAUCAUCUUCGAGGGAGGGAAAAAUUGCACAUUAAAUGCAGUGACCAACUCCUCCUACGAAGUGAUCGAGUUACGUGGCAACUCAGCUAGCCACUUGCACGCCUCCCCCAUCAACGAAAAAGGGAAUAACCUUAGUCGAACCGACUCCGAAGAGAUGUUUUUGAACGAGAAUGGUCCACACAUCUACGAAAUUUCUAAGAUGCUCAUGUGGGUCCUCAUGAGCUAAUCUACUGAAAAGUCUCUUUAGUUGCAAGAGUUGCAGCAUGGUGCUAGUUAUGUAGAACACCGUAUUUCCCUCUGUUGGAGGUAGACGGAUGGCUCCAACACCUCCCAUGAGUUGUGGAUCAUUGAUGUUGGGCUCUUGGACAUCGUUGAGGGUUCCGAUGUCGUCUUGGUGGCCCACCUGGUUACCGUUGCUACCGUUAACACUCAUGCUUUCUAAAAUAUUAACACAAUCAACAGAACAAAACAAAAAAUUAAAUUAGUAAACUACAACUAAGAAGAACAAAGAUUCUACUAAUCUAAAAAUUCUCAAAUAACACCACUCCCCGGCAACGACACCAUUUUUUUAUGCUUAUCAACGACACUAACCUACAUUACGAGUGUUUACGAUCGUCGAUAAUAUAGUAACCCAACCAAGGGUUGGGGUCGUGUCCCAAGGGAGUGGUUUUGAGAAUAAGUAGAAAAAUAAAAUUUAGUUCAAACUAGCCGUAGCUAAAGACAUUAAAGAUUAAAAAUAUUGUAAAUUAAAAGGGGUGACACAAAGGUGUAAAAUAUCAAUUAGGGGUUUUGUCACAAGUAGUAGAAACAACAAAAAUAACAAGAAAAUCAAGUAUGGAGACAAGUUCUUGGGGGUGUAACCGCAAUACAAGUUGAGAUAAAUCGUUGGGUACAUGCUUUCGAUAGGAAAUUUGCAAGAUAAUAGUUACUAGGCUAAGCUUUAGAUGGAAAUAAGUUCCCUAUCGGGUAAAUUACCACGUUUCAAAUGUGUUCCUUUCGAACACCCAUUUGCCGCAUAAAGGUCAGCCUACGCCUUACCCCACUCACUCUCUCGAGCUGAGUGUUAGGAUAUGGGACUAGGGCUCACCCUCUCGGGCUGAACCUCAUGUCGACCCACUCCUUAGGCGCGGUCUUGGUUUCGCGAUCUCCCUCUCGGGCAAGCUAAAAACACAUGGGUGGUUUUGUAUUUUCAACUACAAACCCAUUAAAUUAAACCACAACCACUAGGUGAAAUCACCAUUAAAAUACAUCUAUCCUAUCAGCAAGCAAGACCCAACAACAAUAUCAACACAUAUUUGCUAAGUCAUACCCAAAGAAUGGGGUUUUUAGCCACACCUCAAGAAAUAAAAAAAAUACACCUAAAAUGAUACUAAAAUCAAACGGGUAUAAGGAAUUAAACCUUGAUUUAACCAAAGGAAGAAGAAUGGAGAAGACCCACUUCCAACUUGAGGAAGAUAAGAAAAGGGAAGUGAACAGAGAAGACCCACUUCCAACUUGGGGAAGAUGAAAUCCUUCUUUCUUCAAGUCUCCCAAAAACCCUCUCCAAACUUGAGAGAAAAUAUCCCAAAAAGUACUAUUCUAUUCUCAAAAUUAAAAUAAAUGUUCCACUCCUAAAAAUUAAUAAUAAGUUUAGUAUUUAUAGACUUCAGAAAUUUGUGUUGGUGGAUCAUUCGACGAGGUUAGUCGGAAUCGCCGAUUAACUCGGCGAUUUGCCCUUUGGUGUAGUUCAUCGCCGUCUUGCACUAGCCUUCAGCAUCGUCGUGCUCUGUGUCAUUGGGCAACAUAGUACUGCUUCGCGGACUAUUCGGUGAUACGCCGACUGCUCCUUUCAUCGCCUUUUUGAUCCUGCUCCUUCAGGGCUUCGCGUACUGGAACAAAAGGAGAAAUGUGUUCCUUCGGCGAAUCACCAAGUGUGAUUGGCGAUGCUCAGGCUUCAUCUUCUGCAUUAUUUUCAGCCUUUUUAUUCCUUUUUGCGCCUAAGUGUCCAUUCUUCCACUAAAACUUCAAAUACCUGAAACUUAAGUGUUUUCAUCAGAUACUUAGAAUAAAUAAGCAUUUGAGGACACUAUUUCUAUUAAAAUAAAGCCCUAAAUGAGUCCAAUUUGUGGACUCAUCAAUAUGAAGUCAACACCAUCUUGUGGUGGGAAAAUGUAUCUCAUAACUUUCAUUGAUAAUUGCAUUAGAAAUGACUAUGUCUAUUUGUUGAAUGGUAAGGAUGAAGCAAUAGAAAUGUCUAGACAAUAUAAUAUUGAAGUUGAAAAUCAGUUGGGAAAAAGAUAAGAAGUGAUAGGUAUGGAGAAUAUAAAUCUCCUUUCGCAGAAAUAUGUUUGGAAAGUGGAUUUAUCCAUCAAACUAGCCCUAUUCACCUCAAUCUAAUGGAAUUGCAAAAUGGAAAAACAAUCAAACUUUGGAGAAAAUGAUGGCUACAUUACCUAUAAGUUUAGGUUUACCACAAAACUUGUGUGGAGAAGCUAUCCUUAUAGCAAAAGGGAACAACAAAAAGUUGUCUUUUUAGAAAGAAAGUAAUAAAAAGUUUUGUUUGUUUAGGACACAAUCUAUUCCAUAUGAGAUAUGAAAAGGAAGGAAAUCCAAUUUGAAAUAUUUCGCAGUCAUGUGGAGGUGUCUAGCCAAAGUCCAAGUUCCUAUUCCUAAAAGGAUUAAAAUAGGACCUAUGACUGUAGACUGUAAAAUUAGAUUUGAGUAGUCUAAUGAAGGGUCUAAAAGACCUUGGAAAUAAAAAAGGAGAAUGUACUCAAUAAAGAGAUUCAAAUGUGUAGUAAAUGUCAAAGGACAUCUACUUCCUUUGAAUAUGAUUUUAUAACAUUUCUUGUGUCUUCUAUAGACUCAUCCUUUUGGAAAGAUGGUAUCAAUACUGAGAUUGAUUCAUUCUUGAGCAACCAUAUUGAAAGUUGAUUGAUUUUCUUCCAGAAAAUAAACCUUUGGGUUCAAAGUGAAUCUUUAGAAGGAAAAUAAAAGUCGAUGGACUAUUGACAAAUACAAAGCAAGACUUUUUUUCAAAGAUUGUAGACAAAAAUAAGGUUUUGAUUUUGUCGACACAUACUCACCAAUAACAAGAAUUACAUUCAUUCAAAUGUUAAUUGCAUUAGUUGCGGUAUAUGACCUCCAAAUUCAUCAAAUAAAUAGUGAAAACAAUUUUCAUAAAUAGAGAAUGGAGGAGAAAUUUACAUGAAACAACCCGAAGGUUUUGUGGUUCCUGGUAAAGAAAAGAAAGUGUGCGAACUUGUUAAGUCACUUUAUGGACUAAAACAAGCACCCAAACAAUGACAUAAGAAAUUUGACCAAACCAUGUUGGCAAAUGGACUUAAGAAUGAUGGAAGUGAUAAAUGUGUUUACAUUAAAAUCACACGGUCAUUGUAUGUUUGCAUAUUGAUGACAUGUUGAUCAUCAUUAGAGACACUAAUGACAUAAAUGCUACUAAACGUAUGCUAGAAAGAAAGUUUGAUAUGAAAGAUCUUGGAGUUGCUGAUGCGAUCUUAGGUAAUAGAAUCCUUAGAACUCCAUAAUGUUUAGCAUUGUCACGAUCUCAUUGCAUCAAAAAAGGUACUUGACUAGUUCAAAUAUUUGGAUUUCAAUAUUGUCAAGACUCCAAUAAAUGUGAGCUUUGCAUUUCAAAUGAGUGAAGGCGAAAGUGACUCACAAUUGGAUUGUGCUAGAGUAUUGGGAAGUAUGAUGUAUAUUAAGAAGUGUACGCGAUCAGAUAUAGUAUAUGCUAUUAGUAAACUGAGUCGGUUCACGAGUAAUCCCAAUCAAACUUAUUGGAUGGCAAUGAAAAGAGGUUUGGGGUAUUUAAAACAUACUCAAAACUAUGUCUUGCAUUAUAACAAUAUCCAACAUUAUUGAAAGGAUACAGUGCUGCAAAUUGGAUCACCGGGAUCAAAUGAAGUAAAAUCCACGAGUGGAUAUGUAUUUACUCUUGGUGGAGGAGCAGUCUCUUGGAAAUCUUCCAAAAAUACAUGUACCGCUAGCUCUACAAUGAUCUCUGAGCUAGGUGCUCUAGAUAAGGCCGGUGAAUAAGUUGAAAGACUCCGGAAUUUCUUGAUAUAUAUUCUUCUUUGGUCCAAACCUUUGGCAUAAGUAUGCAUACAAUUUAAUAGUCAAGAUGCAAUAGGUAGGGCAUGGAGCAUGAUGUAUAACGAAAAGUCUCUUCAUAUAAGACAUAGACAUGAUACCGUUAGAAAACUACUCUCUAGUGGAAUUAUCACAAUUGACUAUGUAAAGUCAAAGGAUAAUGUGUCGGAUCCACUUACAAAAAAGCAUAACUAGAGAGAAAGUUGAAAGAUCAUCUAAGGGAAUGGGUUUACGGCUUAGGACAAGUCAUCAUGGCGGUAACUCUAUCUAGCAGACUGGAGAUCCCAAGAGCUAGAUUUAAGGAUAAAAACAAAGUUGUGACUGCGGUUCGACAUUAUCAACCAACUCAAACCAUUCCCAUGAUGAAGACAAUGCUCAGGAACAAGGAGACAACAUUAAGGCUUGUUAAUGAGUUAAUAAAGCUUAAAGUUUUUAAUGAUUUGCUAAGUUUGACAGAUUUGACCAAAUAGUGUAUCUACGUGAUAACACAUUUAGAAAUCACUUAUGUGAGUGUGAAGUUUAAGCCGCUUCAAAGAGGAUAAUUGUCAAAAGCCCAUCUCUAUAUACAUUCAUGAAACCAGGAGGUGUUCAUGGCUGAAACGAACACAACCAUAAGAACCAUAAACGGUAAAGGGUUAAUUGUGUGACAUAUGGUUGUCUAGGUAUACACCAAAGCUCGACGAUUUAAAGAUAUCGCAUCUACCGAUUGACCGAGUAUAUCCGACAUAUGUUCACUACGAAAAGUCCAAGGAGAAACCUACUUAUCCAGAUGCAAUUAACUCUUGUUUGUAAAGUACACAUACUAGUCUGUUUCUUUGUCUUGGAGUCAUUCCCCAUUCAUGUGGGGGAUUGUCUGGUUUUAAAAUGUGUGAAUGGAAAAUGAAGAGUUGCGACUUUUAUGAAGAGUUAUGACUUUUAUGAAAAGUUGCGACUUUUAUGAAAAGUUGUGACUUUUAUGAAAAGUUGUGACUUUUAUGAAAAGUUGUGACUUUUAUGAAAAGUUGUGACUUUUAUGAAAAGUUGUGACUUUUAUGAAAAGUUGUGACUUUUAUGAAAAGUUGUGACUUUUAUGAAAAGUUGUGACUUUUAUGAAAAGUUGUGACUUUUAUGAUUGUCUUCUAUAAAUUGAGGGAUUUCCUUUCAUUUUAGUUGAACUAAUUUUUCUGGACUUCUUCUACUACUACUAAAUCUAGUAUUCUAAGUGUACUUUACUGUCGUUGAGUGGUUUGCUGACACGUUGAUUUUAGGUACCGAUACACCGGUGAGUAAGAUCGUUCUAUCCUGGGAGGAUAUAUUCCAUUAACCUCGGGUAUUUGAGGGGAAUAAUUUCCUUAAGGGGACACUGUGCAUUCAGUGGGCUCGAUUUUCUUCUUUAAGAAAAAUAUUUUGUAUAUUGUUUCUAAUCUGUUUCUAAUUCUAUUUUCUCUACUAGUUUUAAUUUUCUAGUUUUGAAAAUGCUCUUUAAACUUUGUUGUU
rnacentral:lncRNA from 1 species